UACAGGGGUCUCAAGCGUUGUUCGGAUUCAUUGGGCGUAAAGGGUGCGUAGGUGGCGCCGUAAGUCGGGUGUGAAAUUUCGGAGCUUAACUCCGAAACUGCAUUCGAUACUGCGGUGCUUGAGGACUGGAGAGGAGGCUGGAAUUCAUGGUGUAGCAGUGAAAUGCGUAGAGAUCAUGAGGAAGACCAGUGGCGAAGGCGGGUCUCUGGACAGUUCCUGACACUGAGGCACGAAGGCCAGGGGAGCAAACGGG
rnacentral:rRNA from 1 species